rnacentral:rRNA from 1 species
GACGAACGCUGGCGGCGUGCUUAACACAUGCAAGUCGAACGAAGAGCGAUGGAAGCUUGCUUCUAUCAAUCUUAGUGGCGAACGGGUGAGUAACGCGUAAUCAACCUGCCCUUCAGAGGGGGACAACAGUUGGAAACGACUGCUAAUACCGCAUACGAUCUAAUCUCGGCAUCGAGGAUAGAUGAAAGGUGGCCUCUACAUGUAAGCUAUCACUGAAGGAGGGGAUUGCGUCUGGUUAGCUAGUUGGAGGGGUAACGGCCCACCAAGGCGAUGAUCAGUAGCCGGUCUGAGAGGAUGAACGGCCACAUUGGGACUGAGACACGGCCCAGACUCCUACGGGAGGCAGCAGUGGGGAAUCUUCCGCAAUGGACGAAAGUCUGACGGAGCAACGCCGCGUGAGUGAUGACGGCCUUCGGGUUGUAAAGCUCUGUUAAUCGGGACGAAAGGCCUUCUUGCGAAUAGUGAGAAGGAU